rnacentral:rRNA from 1 species
AGGACGAACGCUGGCGGCGUGCCUAACACAUGCAAGUCGAGCGGAAAGGCCCUUCGGGGUACUCGAGCGGCGAACGGGUGAGUAACACGUGAGUAAUCUGCCCCUAGCUCUGGGAUAGCUCCGGGAAACCGGGAUUAAUACCGGAUAUGACCACUUUAGACAUCUGCUGUGGUGGAAAGAAUUUCGGCUAGGGAUGAGCUCGCGGCCUAUCAGCUUGUUGGUGGGGUAACGGCCUACCAAGGCGACGACGGGUAGCCGGCCUGAGAGGGCGACCGGCCACACUGGGACUGAGACACGGCCCAGACUCCUACGGGAGGCAGCAGUGGGGAAUAUUGCGCAAUGGGCGAAAGCCUGACGCAGCGACGCCGCGUGGGGGAUGAAGGCCUUCGGGUUGUAAACCCCUUUCAGCAGGGACGAAGCGAAAGUGACGGUACCUGCAGAAGAAGCGCCGGCUAACUACGCGCCAGCAGCCGC